UACGUAGGGUGCAAGCGUUGUCCGGAAUUAUUGGGCGUAAAGAGCUCGUAGGCGGUUUUGUCGCGUCUGCUGUGAAAACCCGAGGCUCAACCUCGGGCCUGCAGUGGGUACGGGCAAACUAGAGUGCGGUAGGGGGAGAAUGGAAUUCCUGGUGUAGCGGUGGAAUGCGCAGAUAUCAGGAGGAACACCGAUGGCGAAGGCAGUUCUCUGGGCCGUAACUGACGCUGAGGAGCGAAAGCGUGGGGAGCGAACAGG
rnacentral:rRNA from 1 species